rnacentral:rRNA from 1 species
UACGAAGGGGGCUAGCGUUGCUCGGAUUGACUGGGCGUAAAGGGCGCGUAGGCGGUUUGCACAGUCAGACGUGAAAUUCCUGGGCUCAACCUGGGGGCUGCGUUUGAUACGUGCAGGCUUGAGUUCGGAAGAGGGUCGUGGAAUUCCAGGUGUAGCGGUGAAAUGCGUAGAUAUCUGGAGGAACACCGGUGGCGAAGGCGGCAUCCUGGACCGAUAUUGACGCUGAGGCGCGAAAGCCAGGGGAGCAAACGGG